rnacentral:rRNA from 1 species
CCCUUAGAUGUUCUGGGCCGCACGCGUGCUACACUGAGUGGAUCAGCGGGUCAGGUUGCGCGAAAGCGUUUCCUAAUCUUUAAAUCCGCUCGUGAUGGGGAUUGACGGUUGCAAUUUUCUGUCAUGAACGAGGAAUACCUUGUAAGCGCGGGUCAUCAUCCCGCGCUGAAUACGUCCCUGCCCUUUGUACACACCGCCCGUCGCUCCUACCGAUUGAAUGCUCAGGUGAGCCAUUCGGACCUUCAUCAUGCCGGUUUCCGGUUUUGAUGAGGGAAAGUCUUGCGAACCUUAUCAUUUAGAGGAAGGAGAAGUCGUAACA